rnacentral:ncRNA from 2 species
UCUUGGAACGGAAAACUUGUUUAUUCUCGUGAUGAGGAAGGGAAUCCGGUUCAAAUCCGGAGCUGAACCCGCAGCUGUAAUCGCCGAAUGAGAUUUCGCAAUCAUGCCACUGCGUUAAAUACGCGGGAAGGCUGCGAAAUCGGCGAAAGCCAGAAGACCUAACAAGUAAAAAAACAAACU